rnacentral:siRNA from 1 species
CAGAAUACAUCUGUUGGCGAUGC